rnacentral:rRNA from 1 species
UACGAAGGGGGCUGGCGUUGCUCGGAAUCACUGGGCGUAAAGCGCACGUAGGCGGACUCUUAAGUCGGUGGUGAAAUCCUGGAGCUCAACUCCAGAACUGCCUUCGAUACUGAGAGUCUCGAGUCCGGGAGAGGUGAGUGGAACUGCGAGUGUAGAGGUGAAAUUCGUAGAUAUUCGCAAGAACACCAGUGGCGAAGGCGGCUCACUGGCCCGGUACUGACGCUGAGGUGCGAAAGCGUGGGGAGCAAACAGGG